rnacentral:misc_RNA from 1 species
GAUGAAGAACGUAGCGAAAUGCGAUAAGUAAUGUGAAUUGCAGAAUUCAGUGAAUCAUCGAAUCUUUGAACGCACAUUGCGCCCGUCAGUAUUCUGGCGGGCAUGCCUGUUCGAGCGUCAUUACGCCCCUCAAGUCCCCUGUGGACUUGGUGUUGGGGAUCGGCGAGGCUGGUUUUCCAGCACAGCCGUCCCUUAAAUUAAUUGGCGGUCUCGCCGUGGCCCUCCUCUGCGCAGUAGUAAAACACUCGCAACAGGAGCCCGGCGCGGUCCACUGCCGUAAAACCCCCCAACUUUUUAUAGUUGACCUCGAAUCAGGUAGGACUACCCGCUGAACUUAAGCAUAUCAAUAAUCGGAGGA